GCGCGACUCCUGCUACACGAGAGAAAUUCGUCAAACAACUAUCGGAUGCGGAAGCUAAACCAUUCUUGGUUCUUGACUACGUUGAAGGUACCAAAUGGUUGCUUCCCCCUCCGACAGUACCUAAAUAAUUCAUUCAUUCCCAACUUUUUCAUGCCGGCAACAUAUCCUCACAGUAUUGCUAAUUCAAGCAGACUCUCGUCUACCUCUUUGCUGGGUGGAAAUAACUAGCCAUCCAUUUUAUUUUAUUUAUUUUAUUUUCCCUUCCCAUGGCUUGUAUUUUAACAAAUAGCCAAAUGUCAAUAAGAAGCAGAAUUUAGUCUUAUUUUUAUUAAUAGUUAGGAUGUUGAUAUUUGCCAUUAUGUAGAAAAUUUCCAUCAUAUCAAGUUAAAAUUAUGUAAUAAUAUCCAUCAUAUAUCCAAGUUCAUUGAUUCAAUAAGUCAAGGUGAUUUCACAAACUUUUGCAUUUUAGCAAAUAAAUGGACCAUUACUGUAUAUUUGUGUAACAGCUCGUUUUCAGUAGUGUCAGAAAUAGUGGAUUUGGGACCACGAUUUUGACAAGCAGUCAGCAUUUUAAUUAAUUUUUCUUUGAUAAAAUUAUUUUAAUUAUUUAUUUAGUAUUUGCUGGGUUCAUGCCCCCCUUAAUGACUUCCUAGGGUUUAGGUUCUUCCUUUCCCAAACAGUUGAUCCGUUGAGUAGCCCUAUAAAACAGUUAACAAAUCAUACCUCCACUCGCUAAUCCCCCAUAGAGGGAUCAGUUCCUCAUAGUUUUCAUAGAUAAUAUGGAAUUGAGUUAAAGAUAGAACAUGAUAAUUGAAUUGAGGUGUAGAGUUUAAAAAAGUACCUGAUUUGUAGUAAAGAUGAAUAUGAAUUCACAAAGUUUGAUCGUCUUUACACAUCAGAUCUCUCGAGAUAAAGCAAGAACAACUUGAAAAUAAUUCUAAAAACCUAAAAGAAAGAAUAUCUGAACUGGAAUUAAAAGAAAAAAAAACUAUACUAAGUAAUUGAUGUCCGUAACAUGUGAAAAAAGAUCCUAUUUAUAGAUUUCAGGUGCCCUUCGUCGUCAAACCUAGGUUAGUUGAAGUUCUAGAGCUUUAAGUUUGAUUAUGCAAACCAAAACGCCCUCUGGCUCGUGUUAGUUUCCGUCCAGAGUCGAUGUCGCGAUACAUCAGGACCUGUGUCGCAACAAAGGAUUCUUUACACUCCUCUUGGGAUAUCUUUAGGGGUAUGUCGCAACACCCUUAUAUUGUGUCGCAACAUCGAAAGCAGUUCCGUGAUUUCUUUAUCCUGCUCCCUAAGUUGCUACAUUGAUCAUUUUGUGUUGAGACAUAGUGACCAGCAUCUGUUAAUUACUCCUUCUAAUGCUCUCCUGCACACUUACAAAGUUCAUUAGCUUCCCCUUAAACCUCAUCCAGCCCCUAAGGUUAAUAAAAGGCUCAAUUUGUACAUCACAUUACAUUUAAGAAGAGUUGCAAGAACAUAAUUAAAAUCUAACGAAAAUGCUUGCUUUCAACCUCCUAAAGUGCGGAAAUUAGUUUAAUCUACUACACGGAAUUACGGUAUGUCAAGUACACGACUUCAUGCUCGAAUCCACGAUUUAUAAUGUUAUUUAUAGCCCUUUUCACAUAAUUUUGGCUUUUUUUUAAUAGCUAAAUCAAGUCAUUUUGUAAUAAUAUAUGUUUUUACAGGUUAAACAGUUAACUUAGUUUUUUUAAUAGAUUUUAUUGUAUUUGAUAGCUAAAAAAAGGUUAUGUGGUUCUAUAAGAUGAACCGAGAGUCAAUAAUGGAAUUUCAGGCCAAAAUUGCUGCUGAUGUCGUGACCACAAAGUAUGGAAGUAAUAUAAAUAUUAACUUUGUUAAUUACCAUUUGAUUCUUUUUUAGUAAUAUAAAUACUUGCUUAAUUUAAAUCUGUUCCUAUAAUAUACUUUAAGAUGUAUUCCCUAUGUUUUAUAUAAUCACAACUUGUGUGAAAUUGUCGUAUAAAAUUUAUAUUUUUAUUUAGAAACUUAGUACGUUAUAGAUAUUUUAUGUUCGGUAUUGUGUUUCGUAGAUUCUAUCAACAAAUUUUUUCCACCUUUCACGAAUGAAAGAAAAGGAAACAUAAAACUUAAUUGGCAAUUUCCAAUUAGAAUCAAACUUUUCCUCAUUUAUAUAAACCUAAUAGAUAAUUAAUUUAGUAAUAACUUCAAAAUAAACAAGUAAGUAUUAACGGGGCAACAAAUGAAGGCAACAACAUAAAAUAUUUCCAUUCCUUACAUUAAAUUCACCCGGUUUAGGUUUUGCACUUAGGAUUAUUGUUCAAUGAUCAUGGGUGUCUGAAGUCCAAAUUCCGUGUAUUUGGCAACAAUUAUAUUCAAUUUAUACUCAUUAAUGGCGAUCAACUGCCAAAUGCUCGGUCUGAACUGUAGCAAUGCUUGCACCAAGAACUACGCAAAUGAGUGGCAAUGCGAGGAAUCCUCCAAGGCUCAUUUGUUUUAAUAUUUUUUUUGUCACCAAUUUAUCUUAUAAAUUGGAGUCACUUAGAAUUCAAAGACAACCUCAAUAAUCAAUAAACGAAGAAAAUAAACAAAUUACUCUUUUUAUUAAAAGGAAAGAAGGAGGAGGAGGAGGAAAUGGAUGGAAAAAGAAUCGAGGGCAAUGAAGUUUAUGCUCUAGCAAUGUGUGUAAGUAUUCUCCUCUUUGCUCCGAUUGUUGUGUCACAACCAAUACCGGCAGAUAAAUCCCAAGUGGAAGCUUGGUUUAAUGGCAUUAUCAAGCCGGUGAAGGAAAGGGGUACAACCUUAGACCCUGAAUUGGUUCAAGCCGAGACAGAACCUAGAAUCAUAAAGGUGAUGCAAGGUGGGGGUGGAGAAUUCGAUACCAUAACCAAAGCCAUCGAGAGCGUUCCAUCAGGGAACGCCAAACGCGUGAUCAUAUCCAUCGGACCUGGAUCUUACAAAGAGAAAAUUAGAAUUGAAAGAAAUAAGCCUUUCAUUACAUUGUUAGGAGAUCCUAAAAACAUGCCAAAUUUGACAUUUGACGGCACCGCCAAGCAAUAUGGAACCGUAGAUAGUGCCACUCUUAUUACUGAGAGUAAUUACUUUGUGGGUGCUAAUCUCAAUAUAGUGGUAAGUUAAUGUAGAGUUUAGACAACCAUGAUCUGUCCUUUAUUGAAUUGAUUAUUAAAGGGAUUUUUUUUUUAUGGUGGCAUGUUAUGCAUAUAGAACUCUGCUCCAAGGCCAGACGGUAAAAUGGUAGGAGCACAGGCGGUUGCUCUGAGAGUCUCCGGCGACAGGUCGGCUUUCUAUAACUGCAAGAUCAUUGGCUUCCAGGACACUUUGUGCGAUGACAGGGGCAACCAUUUCUUUAAGGAUUGCCAUAUUCGUGGCACUGUUGAUUUCAUUUUCGGAAGCGGGACAUCUUUAUAUCUGGUAUUCAUAUUCCCAAUGCGUGAAAUAUGAUGUAUUAUACCCCCAUAUAUACAUUUGACAAGAAAAGUGGGAUGCAGAACACGGAAAUAUUCGUGGUAGGAGAUCCAGAAGGAGAUCCGGAAAUGGCAAUAAUUACAGCACAUGCGCGAGAAAGUUCAUCGGAGGACACGGGUUAUUCGUUCGUGCAUGGCAGAAUUACAGGAACAGCGAAGGACGUAUUUUUGGGCAGGGCCUGGAAGAGCAGUCCGAGGGUUGUUUAUUCUUAUACUGAAAUGGACGAAAUCGUCCAUCCUGGUGGAUGGUCUAGUAAUCGCCAACCUGAACGAGCCGAGUAAGAUAAUACUCAGCCUUACAACGUUACAUGCCUACAAGUAAACUAAUCUUUCCCAACUUAUUGAUAAAUUUAUUAAGAUAUAUAAUGUGAGAAUGGUUUGACACGCAGCACUGUGUACUACGGAGAAUACAAAUGCACGGGGAAAGGCGCGACUCCUGCUACACGAGAGAAAUUCGUCAAACAACUAUCGGAUGCGGAAGCUAAACCAUUCUUGGUUCUUGACUACGUUGAAGGUACCAAAUGGUUGCUUCCCCCUCCGACAGUACCUAAAUAAUUCAUUCAUUCCCAACUUUUUCAUGCCGGCAACAUAUCCUCACAGUAUUGCUAAUUCAAGCAGACUCUCGUCUACCUCUUUGCUGGGUGGAAAUAACUAGCCAUCCAUUUUAUUUUAUUUAUUUUAUUUUCCCUUCCCAUGGCUUGUAUUUUAACAAAUAGCCAAAUGUCAAUAAGAAGCAGAAUUUAGUCUUAUUUUUAUUAAUAGUUAGGAUGUUGAUAUUUGCCAUUAUGUAGAAAAUUUCCAUCAUAUCAAGUUAAAAUUAUGUAAUAAUAUCCAUCAUAUAUCCAAGUUCAUUGAUUCAAUAAGUCAAGGUGAUUUCACAAACUUUUGCAUUUUAGCAAAUAAAUGGACCAUUACUGUAUAUUUGUGUAACAGCUCGUUUUCAGUAGUGUCAGAAAUAGUGGAUUUGGGACCACGAUUUUGACAAGCAGUCAGCAUUUUAAUUAAUUUUUCUUUGAUAAAAUUAUUUUAAUUAUUUAUUUAGUAUUUGCUGGGUUCAUGCCCCCCUUAAUGACUUCCUAGGGUUUAGGUUCUUCCUUUCCCAAACAGUUGAUCCGUUGAGUAGCCCUAUAAAACAGUUAACAAAUCAUACCUCCACUCGCUAAUCCCCCAUAGAGGGAUCAGUUCCUCAUGGUUUUCAUAGAUAAUAUGGAAUUGAGUUAAAGAUAGAACAUGAUAAUUGAAUUGAGGUGUAGAGUUUAAAAAAGUACCUGAUUUGUAGUAAAGAUGAAUAUGAAUUCACAAAGUUUGAUCGUCUUUACACAUCAGAUCUCUCGAGAUAAAGCAAGAACAACUUGAAAAUAAUUCUAAAAACCUAAAAGAAAGAAUAUCUGAACUGGAAUUAAAAGAAAAAAAAACUAUACUAAGUAAUUGAUGUCCGUAACAUGUGAAAAAAGAUCCUAUUUAUAGAUUUCAGGUGGCCUUCGUCGUCAAACCUAGGUUAGUUGAAGUUCUAGAGCUUUAAGUUUGAUUAUGCAAACCAAAACGCCCUCUGGCUCGUGUUAGUUUCCGUCCAGAGUCGAUGUCGCGAUACAUCAGGACCUGUGUCGCAACAAAGGAUUCUAUACACUCCUCUUGGGAUAUCUUUAGGGGUAUGUCGCAACACCCUUAUAUUGUGUCGCAACAUCGAAAGCAGUUUCGUGAUUUCUUUAUCCUGCUCCCUAAGUUGCUACAUUGAUCAUUUUGUGUUGAGACAUAGUGACCAGCAUCUGUUAAUUACUCCUUCUAAUGCUCUCCUGCACACUUACACAGUUCAUUAGCUUCCCCUUAAACCUCUUCCAGCCCCUAAGGUUAAUAAAAGGCUCAAUUUGUACAUCACAUUACAUUUAAGAAGAGUUGCAAGAACAUAAUUAAAAUCUAACGAAAAUGCUUGCUUUCAACCUCCUAAAGUGCGGAAAUUAGUUUAAUCUACUACACGGAAUUACGGUAUGUCAAGUACACGACUUCAUGCUCGAAUCCACGAUUUAUAAUGUUAUUUAUAGCCCUUUUCACAUAAUUUUGGCUUUUUUUUAAUAGCUAAAUCAAGUCAUUUUGUAAUAAUAUAUGUUUUUACAGGUUAAACAGUUAACUUAGUUUUUUUUAAUAUUUUUAUUGUAUUUGAUAGCUAAAAAAAGGUUAUGUGGUUGAUGUCGUGACCACAAAGUAUGGAAGUAAUAUAAAUAUUAACUUUGUUAAUUACCAUUUGAUUCUUUUUUAGUAAUAUAAAUACUUGCUUAAUUUAAAUCUGUUCCUAUAAUAUACUUUAAGAUGUAUUCCCUAUGUUUUAUAUAAUCACAACUUGUGUGAAAUUGCCGUAUAAAAUUUAUAUUUUUAUUUAGAAACUUAGUACGUUAUAGAUAUUUUAUGUUCGGUAUUGUGUUUCGUAGAUUCUAUCAACAAAUUUUUUCGACCUUUCACGAAUGAAAGAAAAGGAAACAUAAAACUUAAUUGGCAAUUUCCAAUUAGAAUCAAACUUUUCCUCAUUUAUAUAAACCUAAUAGAUAAUUAAUUUAGUAAUAAAUUCAAAAUAAACAAGUAAGUAUUAACGGGGCAACAAAUGAAGGCAACAACAUAAAAUAUUUCCAUUCCUUACAUUAAAUUCACCCGGUUUAGGUUUUGCACUUAGGAUUAUUGUUCAAUGAUCAUGGGUGUCUGUAGUCCAAAUUUUGUGUAUUUGGCAACAAUUAUAUUCAAUUUAUACUCAUUAAUAGCGAUCAACUGCCAAAUGCUCGGUCUGAACUGUAGCAAUGCUUGCACCAAGAACUACGCAAAUGAGUGGCAAUGCGAGGAAUCCUCCAAGGCUCAUUUGUUUUAAUAUUUUUUUUGUCACCAAUUUAUCUUAUAAAUUGGAGUCACUUAGAAUUCAAAGACAACCUCAAUAAUCAAUAAACGAAGAAAAUAAACAAAUUACUCUUUUUAUUAAAAGGAAAGAAGGAGGAGGAGGAAAUGGAUGGAAAAAGAAUCGAGGGCAAUGAAGUUUAUGCUCUAGCAAUGUGUGUAAGUAUUCUCCUCUUUGCUCCGAUUGUUGUGUCACAACCAAUACCGGCAGAUAAAUCCCAAGUGGAAGCUUGGUUUAAUGGCAUUAUCAAGCCGGUGAAGGAAAGGGGUACAACCUUAGACCCUGAAUUGGUUCAAGCCGAGACAGAACCUAGAAUCAUAAAGGUGAUGCAAGGUGGGGGUGGAGAAUUCGAUACCAUAACCAAAGCCAUCGAGAGCGUUCCAUCAGGGAACGCCAAACGCGUGAUCAUAUCCAUCGGACCUGGAUCUUACAAAGAGAAAAUUAGAAUUGAAAGAAAUAAGCCUUUCAUUACAUUGUUAGGAGAUCCUAAAAACAUGCCAAAUUUGACAUUUGACGGCACCGCCAAGCAAUAUGGAACCGUAGAUAGUGCCACUCUUAUUACUGAGAGUAAUUACUUUGUGGGUGCUAAUCUCAAUAUAGUGGUAAGUUAAUGUAGAGUUUAGACAACCAUGAUCUGUCCUUUAUUGAAUUGAUUAUUAAAGGGAUUUUUUUUUAUGGUGGCAUGUUAUGCAUAUAGAACUCUGCUCCAAGGCCAGACGGUAAAAUGGUAGGAGCACAGGCGGUUGCUCUGAGAGUCUCCGGCGACAGGUCGGCUUUCUAUAACUGCAAGAUCAUUGGCUUCCAGGACACUUUGUGCGAUGACAGGGGCAACCAUUUCUUUAAGGAUUGCCAUAUUCGUGGCACUGUUGAUUUCAUUUUCGGAAGCGGGACAUCUUUAUAUCUGGUAUUCAUAUUCCCAAUGCGUGAAAUAUGAUGUAUUAUACCCCCAUAUAUACAUUUGACAAGAAAAGUGGGAUGCAGAACACGGAAAUAUUCGUGGUAGGAGAUCCAGAAGGAGAUCCGGAAAUGGCAAUAAUUACAGCACAUGCGCGAGAAAGUUCAUCGGAGGACACGGGUUAUUCGUUCGUGCAUGGCAGAAUUACAGGAACAGCGAAGGACGUAUUUUUGGGCAGGGCCUGGAAGAGCAGUCCGAGGGUUGUUUAUUCUUAUACUGAAAUGGACGAAAUCGUCCAUCCUGGUGGAUGGUCUAGUAAUCGCCAACCUGAACGAGCCGAGUAAGAUAAUACUCAGCCUUACAACGUUACAUGCCUACAAGUAAACUAAUCUUUCCCAACUUAUUGAUAAAUUUAUUAAGAUAUAUAAUGUGAGAAUGGUUUGACACGCAGCACUGUGUACUACGGAGAAUACAAAUGCACGGGGAAAGGCGCGACUCCUGCUACACGAGAGAAAUUCGUCAAACAACUAUCGGAUGCGGAAGCUAAACCAUUCUUGGUUCUUGACUACGUUGAAGGUACCAAAUGGUUGCUUCCCCCUCCGACAGUACCUAAAUAAUUCAUUCAUUCCCAACUUUUUCAUGCCGGCAACAUAUCCUCACAGUAUUGCUAAUUCAAGCAGACUCUCGUCUACCUCUUUGCUGGGUGGAAAUAACUAGCCAUCCAUUUUAUUUUAUUUAUUUUAUUUUCCCUUCCCAUGGCUUGUAUUUUAACAAAUAGCCAAAUGUCAAUAAGAAGCAGAAUUUAGUCUUAUUUUUAUUAAUAGUUAGGAUGUUGAUAUUUGCCAUUAUGUAGAAAAUUUCCAUCAUAUCAAGUUAAAAUUAUGUAAUAAUAUCCAUCAUAUAUCCAAGUUCAUUGAUUCAAUAAGUCAAGGUGAUUUCACAAACUUUUGCAUUUUAG
rnacentral:lncRNA from 1 species